rnacentral:sRNA from 1 species
UGUACAAGAGUUGCUGUAGCAACCUCACAGCUGUGCUCUGUCUAGCAGAAACUUGGGAUACAGAAAAACAGCAAAUACAAAUCAUGGAUGAAAUUUAUAAGAUCACUUCCACAGAAAGGGUCCAGCUGUUGGAGAAAAAACUGACUGUGCAACUGACUGAACUGAAGUCUGAGAUAGAAGAGCAGGGAGCUCUUCAGGGAACAGCUAAUCGAGUUUACAGCUCUAUUCAAGUGCCAAAGGAUAUUUAUUACUUUAGAAGAGAGAGGGAACUAGCACUGAAGAAAACCUUACAGGUGGCCGAGUCGAAGCCCCUUGUUGUUCAGGCAGACGCCAUGCAGAGGGAGCUAAAGAGCUGCCUAAGAAGGGAGUACACCCCUGAAAAUUUACCUUUGCUUCUGUUGCAGUAUUACACAGAGAGAAUUACCCAGCUGGCCCAGAGUAAAUAUUUACACAUGCUUAGGUGGAAGAGGUUUUGCCAACACAGUAAGAUCAUGGAGCAACUUUAUCCUCUUUACAAGAAACAAGUUGGCUACAUUAUGCAGGAGUACAAUGAUGCCCUUCAGAGAGCUGAAAGAUUGUCUGUUGCUCGAGAAAACUUCCUCAUGGGAAAAAACAAUCCUCCUAACUUGGUGACACAGGAAGAUCUGACUAUUUACACAAGGUGGUUAGUGUGCCACCUGCACUCUCUCGGGACUGUUCACCAGUACCUGCAGGCCCUCCAGUAUUUGCCCAUCUCCAAAGUGCUGAGUUUAGCUUUCAACCAAGUCACUGAAGUUGGUCAGAAAAAUGAAAAUGUCUGUGUCAAUGACAUUGACCCUGACAUUCAGGGUUCUGCAUCUCCUGACCCUGUGGAUAUCAGCAUUUCUGGGCCAAUGAGAACAGAAGCUGCUUUUGUCCUCCCCCAACAUGCAACAGAAACAGGAGAACUGAAACCUCAGCUGAAGCUCCUGCUCUCCCAUUUCAGUAUCCCAUAUGACGUAGAAGAGCUCUGGGACUCUGCUAAGGAAAUGGAACUUUUUUCCUUGGUUUCCCAAAAAUUUCAAAGCGUCUUCAUGGAGCAACAGAGAUUGCAAAUGUUUCCAGACUAUGAAGCUGGAACAGCUAAAGCAGAUAAUUUGGGUUUGGCAGGACCCAGAAUGACCCUGAAAAAGAGAGCCAACUGGAUUUCCUUCAUAAAGAUCAAGCCAAAAUGUGAUCCAUGGCAAAAGAAGCUUUUGACUAAAUUAAAAGAACGGAGAAGAACAGAUGCAUUAUUGCAACUCCAAGCAAAGUUUUUGAAGAUUUCCAACCCUGAGCGAGUAAUGCAAGUGCUCCAAGAUCACGCUGCAAAGACAGUCAUGCUGGCUCCAUAUCAUCCAUCUUUUGUGGCUUCCCAAGGUUUGCAUCAGUGCAAUUAUGACCAAGUCUGGGAGAAUAUUUACAACAUCAACCUCUGUCAGAAUAAAAAUAUGAAGGAUGAUGACCUCUCCAUGAAACAAAAUGAAAAUGAUCUAUCACAAAUAACUCUCAGCCAACAUGCUGAUGGGCCUCUCAAGCAGAUACAAGAGACGGGGUACAACUAUGCAAUGACCCUACAACUGCUGGGCUUGGAAGACGGCACUGACCCCAGUGAUAGGAAUCCUGUUCUGAUGAGAGGGGCCUACUUGUCCUUUCUGUAUCUGCGCCACCUUCGAAUCAGAGAACUGCAGCGCAUCUGCUUAGGAAUUCUGAAUUAUUUCAGAUCUGUUGAGCGAACCCUGACAAUCAAUACUUCGGGCCUUACCUUGGUUUCAGGGAAACUGGUCCCCACCAUGGAAGAUAGUUCCUGGGUAAAUAUGGCAAAAGGAGGUCUGGGCACCUUGCAGGGCCUGGGCGCUCACCACUAUGUCCAUGAGACGCCUGCUGAGCACAAGGUCCACAGCGUCCAAUUCAUGGAGUUCUCGGAAGUGGAGAACCAGGAUGACUACUACAGCACAGAAGCUGGCUGCAUCCACACCCAGGACCAGCAAGGGGUGCAUGUCAUGUAUGAGGAAGCCUUGAGUGAUCUCAAGGAACUAGAGGCAGAGUUGCUGCUUGUGGCUAGCCAUUACAUUGAGAAAGAAAGGGGUCACAAAGUGGGCAGCCAGCCAAAGAGUGGCCAGGACUGGGGAUGGGCCCAUGCAGAUGUGGACAGAUUUGCUGUGCUGUAUGACACGUGGACUUGGGAAGCAGCUCUUCUGGAAAACAAGCGCCAGCUUCUUGACAGUUACUUUGAAGCCUACCAGCACACGUUGGACCCUGAGGAGAGGUUUACCUUAGCACAAGUGAUGACGGACAUCGUGCACCGGCGCCCGAGGUUUGAUUUCAGCCACCCCUAUUUCAUUAAGGCCUACCAAGAGGAAUGCACCUGCCUGAGGCUUCACCUGCAGUUAGUGAGGGGCAUCCUCAACCAGCAGAUAGAACGUCAGCGGGAGUAUGUCCAGAGGCUUUGGCGAGAGGAUCAUCUGGACAAUAGCAAUACAUUUGGACUUCCCCUUAAUAUAGUUUGCAAACAACUUAUUUCCAUCAACAAUAGCUGCCCAGCUUCAAAAAAUGUUUAUCUGCUGGAGUUCCACCCUUCCCUCAGCCUGGCAGCACUUAUCCCCAAAGCCCUAGAGCAUCUCUUCCAAGAGGCCUGCCAUGCCUGCAGACCCACAUCAGCCAGUGGCCUUGCCUCCCUGGAGCGACAUGUCCUGCAGCUGGCCCUGGACCUGUGGCUCACCCCAGCCACGCCUGAGGCCUGGUACAGUACACAGCUCCAGAAAGAUCUGUUUUCAGCUAAAGUUAUGGGAGAUCCCUUUCUCGUGGGGGAGAUAGGCCUGCUGGCAUUCAAGUCUGCAGCAGACGAAGGACAGAAACAAGGCCAAGACUCUCACGUGCUGCUCUUGGAGAUGUUUUCCAAACUUCUGGAACUCUUGACCCUCCGCCACCGGCUGAUAGAAAUGAGCCUGGAGAGUGCACACUUAGCUCGGCUCUAUAAAGAAUUGGCAUGGGAGAUGGGUUUUGAAGAGUUCCAUUUGUAUCUGAGGCCUGUUCACUUUGAAUUUGCAUCACACGGGGACAGGGCAGACCAGCUACCUCCUGUGUUUAUAACCUCUCUGCUGGAGGACAGUGGUCGGGUAGACAGAUAUUCUCCUACUGCUCUUGUCUUAGCCAUCUCUGAGGUGGAUGAUAACCAAAUUGGCAAAUUUAGUUUUUACACAAAGGAAGCCAUUCUUAAGCUUUUGCUGCAUUCAGGAGUGGAAAAUAUGCAGGUGACUCUUGCAUGCCAAGCUGCUCAGAAAAAUGCUUUGAUGGCGGCUGUCCAGCAGGUGUACUUCUAUUGCACCCCUCAAGGGAGCUGUCCUGCUAAUGUCAAGGAAAUAAGUUCAGAUCUGAGAAAUCAUGGUGGAAUGGGCCCAACCAGAAGAAGAUAUUCCAGAAUUGUGAAUGGCAUAGACAGCUCGCUGAUAGCCCCAACUCCAAAAGUCCCAGAUACCCUUACUCAUUCUCCAGAAAGAUUUCAGGCUACCAAAAGGGCUCCAGAGGCCUUUGUGUCUAUUCAACUGGAAAAGGUGGGGCUGCGGGACAUGAUGCUGAACACCUUCCUCCUGAGGAAACAAACCAUGGCCAACAGAACGAAGAGCCCUGAUGAAAUUGGAAAAGUCAAGAGAGAUGUUAUAGUUGAAUAUUGUCAGAAGUUUAACCACCGCAUGUCUCAUUAUGCUCUUCGGGGUCAGAUCAUGGCAUACUGCAAUAGCCUGAGAGAUCUUCUGGAAGAUUUUCCUACCAUCAGGGACACCUUUUUCAUGGUAGGGCAACCACAAGAGAAGAAGGGGUUGAGAGACUCCAAGGAGGGCCUCAAGGCUGACCCCAGCAGAAGAUUUCAGCCCCGGCCACGAUGUUUGCUGUCAGAGGAUGGAAAAGUCUUCCUCAAUUUAUGGUUCAUACCCCAUUCUUCUGAAGUGCUGGUUAUGUUCAAAACUCUGCCAGAAAAGGCAGCUUUUAAAGCCUUAAAGCGAACUCUACAGCUGAUAGCUCCUCUGCAUGAUAUCGUGGCCUACCUUGUCAGUUUUGCUAAGCUUGGCAAUUGUCCAGCAUGUUUUGAAUUUCCUCGAAGUCCCAACCCUUUGAGAGGUGACUGGGGAGGAACUGAGGGCAUUGGGUCUGAGCUUCAAGAGCUGCAGAACAUGAUUGACAGCCUUCAGAGCCCCCAAGACCCUAGCCGGGUGGCCCAGGCACUCCUCCUCCGGAGGGAGGUUAUGUUUUUGCAGUUUGACGCUGCAGUAAGGCAUCUCAUCCGAAGAACAUUUUUGGCAGCUGGAAAUGUUCCUGCCUACCAGUCUGUCACAGACGGCAUGUGCCAUGGGCUACCAGCACUGAGCAACUCUCUCAGGAAGAGCAUUUUUGCCUCACAGCUCAGCCUGCCCCAGCCACUGGAUCCACGGAGCCUCCAGGCAUUUGAGCUGUUUCCUUGGAGAGCAUUUCUGGAAGAUGGAGGACCAUUCCCAGUUAUGAGUAACAGCCCAGAUACCCUAGAAUAUAAUAUGCAGCUGUGCCUCUGUGGGCUGAGUGACCGUGACCGCAAGGUGGCUCAUGGAGAACUGGUGGGUGUGCAACUGCUACUGGAAGAUGUUCUGAGUAGCUAUCAUGUGACCAUGGAGGCCCCCCAAAGACAGCAAGCCACACUGGGCAAAAAUACACAGCCAGAUUGGUCCAAAGUGCCAGGAUUCAGAAGUCAGUUCCGAAGCAGCCCAAAGACCUCUGAGCUGCUGGAGGGCCCGUGCGAUGCGGUGAUGUCCUUUGCUUUGCUGAGAUCAUUUCUGAUACUGUGGAAGCAGCUGGAAGUGCUAAAGGAGCACUGGGGCCGACUCAAGCUGCAAGGCCAGGAUAUCAACUCUGUCUCUCUCCACAAACGGUUUUCAGAGCUCUAUGAAACUGACGUUCUCUACCCCAGCAUGAAAGCUAUAGCCAGGCAGAUGGGGAAAGAAGAUGAAUUUGAAGGAUUUAUAGUAAAUAAUCAGUCUGUUCUUCCCCCCAGUGGAGCCUCAGAAGUUGAAAUAAAAACUCACCAGCUUCAAAAACUUCUGGAAAAUUGUGAAAUUCAAAUGAUCCAAGAGGUACUAAGAAAAGUUAACAGAGAAAUGACACUGGUUUUAUCAGAAAAGUGCAAGGAGGAGUGUUCUCUCCCUACAGAUCUCUGGAAACACCAAGUCAUGAAAGAAAACUUUUCAGUCUCAAGACCACAAAUAGUUGAAAAAUUUAUACAGAGAUUAAUGCAGAAUUAUCAGGAUGAUGGAGUAGAGAUCACUUUCAGGAAAGAUCACCUUGAGGCCUGCCUCCUUUCCCUGGGUUGUGAUGUGAUGGCAAGAGAACGCAGCAACUUUGAGACCUACUCCAUGUGCUAUGAGCAUGUGUUGCAUCAUGCUAGGCAGAGGCUCAGCCAGAAAGAGCAAGAAUUAGAUGCUACACAAAGAGGCCAGGGUCCACCUGAAGACAGUGCUGGCCAGAUUGCAGAGCUCAGUCAUGAUAUGAUCAUGGAAAUCACCACUCUGAGAGCCCAACUCACAGACUUGGAAGAGGUGAAUCUGAAUCUCAAGAAGCAGAUUAGAAAAGAAGUCCAAGAAGAAUAUGAAGCAUUAGUCCGAGCUUUGUUUGAGACCUGUUUACACAUAAAAGAGAAGCUGGAUGAGAAUCAGCUUAAUUUGAUCCAGAAAGUGUGUGAGCUCAUCGGUGAAGUGAGAAUAGAAGGGAUUGACAAUAUGAAGGACCUAAAGAAAAAAUGGUGCUCUGCCAGCCCCGAUGAAGGAAUGAAAGAAAACCCAGCCAAAGAACAGCUGUGGGCCUUGGAGCAGGACAACUGCAGCCUGGCCAACCUGGUGUGCAAAGUGAGGAGCCUGGGCCGCUGGAGGCUGGCUGUGCAGCAGGCGCGCUUCCAGGCCCAGCUGAGCAGGGCAGAGAAGGAAUCUAUUCAAAGUAAAAAAGAGUAUUUGCGCAUCAAGCUGAUGGCAGAGCGAGAAGUGGGUUUAUUUCGUCAGCAGGUCCUGGCUCUCAGGCAGGCCCUGGCCAGGGCACAGGCUGACAGCGCGAGGAUGUGGAAGCAGCAGGACAGCCAGGCUCAACUGCUGAAGGAGUUAGAACAUAGAGUGACCCAGGAAGCUCUCACCCAGCAGCAGCUGCAUUUUAUGAAAACAUCCAGGAUGGAGAAGCUCUUGGAAGAUGUGGGGCAAAAAGAACAGCAACUGCAGCUCCUUAGCAAAGAGGCUGAGAGGGCUUCUAAGCUGGGCCAACUGCAGCAGAAAAAAAUGAAGAGGGACCUCCACCAGAUGAGAAGCCGGCUUUCCCAGGAGCGCAGUGUGAAGCUGGAUGCUCUCCAGCGUGUAGAGGAGCUGCAGGGUCAGCUUCACCAUGCCCAGCGGUCAGCUGUCCCCACGGGCUCGUCAGGCGACCUUAUAUCCCAGGCUCAAUACUCCCCAACUUCUGCUUCCACAUCAUCCAGAUACUCCCAGCAACGCUUUUUAAAGACUAAUCUCAAAGGCAGUAAAAUAACAAGAUGGAUUCAAAGGCCACAGACUGUACCUAUUAAACACAAAAAAAGAACUGACGAUGUUUUCCUACCCAAUAUGGCAGAAAAUGUUCAACUGACAGCUUUUCAGGUUCAAACAGCUCCAUCCAGAUUCCCAUUUAGAGCUGACUGGUGAUGAUAUCUUCUUUUUCCAACCUUUAUUUCUAUGAGUAUUUGAAUGAAUAAAAAUGACUCCAAAUGCCAUUAAA